rnacentral:rRNA from 1 species
GAUGAACGCUGGCGGCGUGCCUAAUACAUGCAAGUCGAGCGAACAGAUAAGGAGCUUGCUCCUUUGACGUUAGCGGCGGACGGGUGAGUAACACGUGGGUAACCUACCUAUAAGACUGGAAUAACUCCGGGAAACCGGGACUAAUGCCGGAUAACAUUUAGAACCGCAUGGUUCUAAAGUGAAAGAUGGUUUUGCUAUCACUUAUAGAUGGACCCGCGCCGUAUUAGCUAGUUGGUAAGGUAACGGCUUACCAAGGCAACGAUACGUAGCCGACCUGAGAGGGUGAUCGGCCACACUGGAACUGAGACACGGUCCAGACUCCUACGGGAGGCAGCAGUAGGGAAUCUUACGCAAUGGGCGAAAGCCUGACGGAGCAACGCCGCGUGAGUGAUGAAGGUCUUCGGAUCGUAAAACUCUGUUAUUAGGGAAGAACAAAUGUGUAAGUAACUGUGCACGUCUUGACGGUACCUAAUCAGAAAGCCACGGCUAACUACGUG